rnacentral:rRNA from 1 species
AUUGAACGAUGGGGGUAGGCCUAACACAUGCAAGUCGAGCGAGCGGCGGACGGGUGAGUAAUGUAUGGGAAACUGCAUGAUGGAGGGGGAUAACUAGGGGAAACGGUAGGUAAUACCGCAUACCAUCAGAGGAGCGAAGGUGGGCUUAGCUAGGAGGUGGGGUAACGGCCAACCUAGGCGACGAUCCCUAGCUGUGAUGAGAGGAUGACCAGUCACACGGGAACGGUGACACGGUCCAGACUCAUACGGGAGGCAGCAGUGGGGAAUAUUGCACAAGGGGCGAAAGCCUGAUGCAGCCAUGCCGCCUGUGUGAAGAAGGCCUUCGGGUUGUAAAGCACUUUCAUCUGGGAGGCGUUACCCGCAGAAGAAGCACCGGCUAACUCCGUGCCAGCAGCCGCGGUAAUAC